GAGCCGCUUCAUCAGAUGUUUUCAUUGUCUGUACCUCCGCGCCAUACCUCAGUACAGGCAUGAUGAGUGACUUAUAGAGUGUGAUUCUUCUUACCAUACACUCAUAU